rnacentral:rRNA from 1 species
UACGUAGGCAGCAAGCGUUGUUCGGAAUUACUGGGCGUAAAGCGCGUGUAGGCGGCCCUGCAAGUCGGAUGUGAAAUCCCACGGCUCAACCGUGGAAGUGCAUUCGAAACUGCGGGGCUAGAGUCCUGGAGAGGAAGGUGGAAUGCUUGGUGUAGAGGUGAAAUUCGUAGAUAUCAAGCGGAACACCGGUGGCGAAGGCGGCCUUCUGGACAGUGACUGACGCUGAGACGGCGAAAAGCGUGGGGAGCAAACAGGG